rnacentral:sRNA from 1 species
AAACAAAGAAGUUUCUAAGUGUUGGCCUGAUGACAAAUGUGAAUUCGCAGAAGAUUUACAGAACUCUCUAAGAUUAGGAAUUCUUCUAGGGCAAAGGCUGCCUGUGCCAUUGGUCAUGAGCAUGAGGUCCUGCUGAGAGACUUGCUUCUAGAGAAAAACCUGUCCUUCCUAGAUGAAGAUCAGCUCCGUGCAAAGGGUUAUGACAAAACACCAGACUUCAUUUUACAAGUACCAGUUGCUGUGGAAGGGCACAUAAUUCACUGGAUUGAAAGCAAAGCCUCAUUUGGUGAUGAAUGUAGCCACCAUGCCUACCUGCAUGACCAGUUCUGGAGCUACUGGAAUAGAUUUGGGCCAGGCUUAGUCAUCUAUUGGUAUGGAUUUAUCCAGGAGCUGGACUGCAACCGGGAAAGGGGCAUCCUGCUCAAAGCCUGUUUCCCCAUGAACAUUGUCACCUUAUGCCACAGCAUAGCUUGACCCUGAAGAUCCUGGAAGAGAAGCUGGGAGGAAAAGAGACCCAGCGUUGCUUUACCAUCGUGGAAUAAUCUAGCACAAAUCUAGGAAAGCUGAAGCCACAAAGUCCAAAGCCACCUUUGUACUCACGUGCAGAGCUCCAGAAGACCUUGAUGGCAGCCCGCCUAUGCUGUGUGUUUGCUAUAUUCAAUCUUUACGGCUUCCUGACUUCUGUGACAGUAAGCCAAGCUGCAAAAAUACACUUGAUGAGAAUUUCCUCUUUUAAUAAUGUUAUUUGAACACCACAUAUUUUAGAUUUAUCUUAUUUGAAAGUAUUAGUUCCAUUGUGCCUGGAAACCACACUCCUUUAGAUUGGGGGCCGAGAGGAGACGACCCAACAUUGAGGAGAGUUUAUUUUUAAGCAUGGCUAGUUGUCAGUAUGUACGUGAGCUAGUAUUUUUAUGAGUCGAGUUUUUUAAAGGCACAUUCUGUAUACUGCUUAGUAUAUGCAUUUUAUACCAUGUAAUUAUAUAACACUCAAGUAAGUUCAGCAUUAGAAAUGUUUAGCUUUGUAUGAACUGAGUGUGCCAGAAAUAAACCCGGAGCAAUUUUUAAAUAAGCAAAAUAAAGGAGAUUUUUCUAUUUGUUCACUUUAAUUUAUUCACUUUCGUGUACUUUUAUGUAUUGCAAAUCAGAUUUCAGUCUAAAGCGAAACAUCAAUAAGUUAAUAAUAAACCUAUCUUUUGGGAAGUUGAAUAUUAAUCUGUACCCUAAACGUAUUUAGUAAAAUAUUUGCCCCGCCCCCUACCCCGCCAUGCUGACAAAACAUAACUUUUAUAAUGCUGAAUAGAUGAUUUGAGAAAUACGAAUAACAACAAUGUAAUUUUUGUAGACAGCUUUAACUUAUAUACAUUGCUUGAUUUUUUUCAAAAGACUAAAUAUGUCAUUUAUACUUUGUUCAUUUUCUACCAAAGAAGGUUUGGAAAAAUAUGCCUGCUGCUUUUCCUUUUGAAGGACACAAACCUGGUCCCAACAUGUGUAGAUUUUAACUCUGAGUGGGGUGCAUUAAAUCAAAAGAGAGAGGCAGCCAAGAUGAAAUGCUAAAGAAGUAUCAGGCAAACUUCUGUUUCAGUAAAAAAUUCAUCAUGCAGGCUUCUGAGUGAAAUAGAAUGAUUUGAAACCACUACUGUAUUGCCUGGAUACACACACACACACACACACACACUUUAUACAAAAAUGUUAAAAGCAGGUUUCCUGGCAUGUUCUAAACUGUUUUUUCUUUAGGAAUCAAUUACAUUUAUCUGCACAGAUGUUGAAAAUCCUGUUAAACCCUUGUCAAGGAUUUGUUUAUUUUAUAUUAAACAAAUUUAUGAUGAACAUGAACAAAUAAAUUAAAAAAUAAAAAAGGUA